rnacentral:rRNA from 1 species
GUAGGCAGCGAGCGUUGUUCGGAGUUACUGGGCGUAAAGAGUGUGUAGGCGGUGUCGUAAGUUCGGUGUGAAAUCUCCCGGCUUAACUGGGAGGGUGCGCCGGAAACUGCGAGACUUGAGUACGGGAGAGGGAAGCGGAAUUCCUGGUGUAGCGGUGAAAUGCGUAGAUAUCAGGAGGAACACCUGCGGUGUAGACGGCUUCCUGGACCGUUACUGACGCUGAGACACGAAAGCGUGGGGAGCAAACAGGAUUAGAUACCCUGGUAGUCCACGCCCUAAACGAUGCAUACUUGGUGUGAGCCAUUCAGUUGGUUCGUGCCGGAGCUAACGCGUUAAGUAUGCCGCCUGGGGAGUACGGUCGCAAGGCUG